AAUGAACGUUGGCGGCGUGGAUUAGGCAUGCAAGUCGAGCGAGAACCCUCCGCAAGGAGGGGGACAGCGGCGAAAGGGAGAGUAACGCGUGGAUUAUUUGCCCCCGGGACCGGGAUAGCCGCGGGAAACUGCGGGUAAUACCGGAUGACGUCUCCGGACCAAAUGGUGUGAUUCCGCCAGGGGAUAAGUCCGCGUCCUAUUAGCUAGUUGGUGGGGUAAUGGCCUACCAAGGCAAUGAUGGGUACUGGGUGUGAGAGCACGACCCAGCUCAUUGGGACUGAGACACUGCCCAGACACCUACGGGUGGCUGCAGUCGAGGAUCUUCGGCAAUGGGCGCAAGCCUGACCGAGCGACGCCGCGUGUGGGAUGAAGGCCUUCGGGUUGUAAACCGCUGUCAGUGGGGAGGAAAUGUCUAGGGGUUCUCCCCUAGAUUUGACCUAUCCGCAGAGGAAGUCAGGGCUAAGUUCGUGCCAGCAGCCGCCGUAA
rnacentral:rRNA from 1 species